UUUUUUUUUAACCUGCUUGCUCGUCACAAGGAAAAGUACACGAGACGGACAAAAUCGAUCAUUUGAAGUAGUUUCCGUGGACAAAUCCUCAGAGGCACAACUCCACUAAUCCGUUGAGUUCACAGCAAAGUUGAGUACGCCCGUCCCUCGGGGCCUGGACCCUCCGGCAUGGGCAUGGCAUCCGGGUGGGUCCCGGUGGAACAAGGGGAUAAGUAGUUCUCCUUUUCUUUUCUGUGCCUGUGGGUCUAAGAAGACACCACACGUGUCUUGUUUCUUUGUAAUGAGGUGGCGGAAGGGUCUAUCUCGAUCACCACCAUUCCAGGCCCACAAACUGUGACGGGAGCACAGCACAUCCCACCGCCCACCCCAACGGCGGCGGAGGCGGGGGCGCGUGGGGACAAAACCGGUUAUCCGUAUGAAGUGUGACGGUGAUAGGUAGCUCCCAGGACACGUCUUUUUACAGGAAACCCACAGGGACCGCGGAUACGCAGAGAUGACUGAGGCUGAUGUGAAUCCGAAGGCCUACCCCCUGGCAGAUGCCCACCUCCCCAAGAAACUCCUGGACGCGUGUUCAGCAGUCCCGUAACUACAAGCAGCUUCGGAAAGGAGCCCACGAAGCCGCCAAAACCCUCUGUGGAGAGGCAUCUCUGAGUUCAUCCUGAUGGCUGGCUGCAGACGCCGAGCCCCUGGAGAUCAUCCCGCACCGUCCGCCGCCCGCCUGCCUGCCUGCCGCGUGAAGAGAAGAACGUGCCCUACGUGUUCGUGCGCUCCAAGCAGGCCCUCGGGCGGGCCUGCGGGGUGUCCGGGCCUGUCCUCGCCUGUCCCGUCACCAUCCAAGGAGGCUCGCAGCCAAAGCCGCAGAUCCAGUCCAUUCAGCAGUCCAUCGAAAGGCUCUUCGUGGAAACCGCUGGCCUCUGUCCCACCCCUCACGGAGCCCAGCCCUCCCCCCUGGGGUUGUGUCUACCGUCUGCCCUUCCGCCUCCACCUCCGCCUGUUCCUUCAUCUCGGUUUCGUCCUGGAAAACAGGCUUUGUCCGUGGUUGCCUCCCUCUCAGCCCUCUGA